AAAUUAUCAUUUAUUUUAAAUAAAUACAUUUAUGGAUGCGACAUAUUAUUGUAAUUAAGAAAUAUAGUGGUGUUAGCCUACAAUCCGGUUUUGCAAUAGCAGACGGGCGUUAGCCCACUGUCCGGAUAGUAACUUAGUGGACAGUUUUUUAGAUAGCACAUUAACAUAAAUUAGCAGCCAUUUUGUAAGAACAAAAAGUUAAGAAAAAGAAAUUGUUAAAAUCACAGAGAUAACGGUUGUGAUGAUCAAAGUGUUUUCUCUAUCUGCUCAUUGCUGACCGACAAAAUUCAACAUCUAAGUCACGCUUCAAUACAGACUAUAUAUUGGUUAAAAGAUGUGUAUGUUGGUAUUAGGUACAUCUCAUAUAAACAGACUCCAAAAUUAUUUGGUGCGACAACACAUGUCAAUAAUUUAUUUAAUUUGAAUAACCUGCCGAUUUAUUUGCAUGGAAUAUCAGGCGGAUGUGUCAACAACCGAGUCCAUGUUACUCGCUGGGAAAGGAGCAUUGCUACAUUCAGGCCAAAAGUGUUGGUAUUACAUUUUGGAGAAAACGAUUUAGAUUCGCGAAGAGAUGUUUGUGAUUUAAUUUCGCUGAAGGUAGUGAAUUUGGCAACCACAUAGCGUGCACGAUAUAACGUUCAAUCUGUGGUGAUAGUGCAACUGAUGACAUUUUGUACUGGAAGAUCUCUGGGGUGAAAUAUCCAACUCAGCCUAUUUUCUGUGAUGGUGUACAUUUUAAUGAUGAUGGAAUGCUUCGUUACUUCCGUAGUUUACGUGGUGCAAUUAUCUACGCUAGUAAAUAAGUGAUGUAAACAUAGUGAAAUGUUAUUGUGUGAAUAGCUUCAGCUUUGUGAUAUGACUGAUGUUUUUUGCUUUAGAACUCUUUACCUACAUGUACAUCUGGCUAUUUACAUCCUUGUUUCAUUAUGUUGACAUGCUCAAAUAGUUCAAGUAACAUGUACAAGCACAAAAUACUAUGAAAUUUUCAUCGCAAAUGCAUGUCUUUUCUUUACCUGCUGAGAAUCAUGUUGACAGUUAAUGAGUUAUCUGUGUAUAUUUUGUCCUAGAAUUUAUUAAGUUAAUUUUAGUUAUAAAUAUGUUAAUAUUUCUGCAUAAGUAUAACUAUUUUAUGUUAUUAAUGGAUUUAUUGCUUUUUAAUAACAACUGUAAUAUGUAAGUAUUUCCGUUAUAAAAUGCAAUUUGGGCCUUUAUAAAACUGGUUGGAAGUUCUUCCUUCAUCAUUUUCAAGUACAUAAGUUUAUAUUGCAAUGCAAUAUUAUUUAUUAGUGUCAGUAUACGGUAGUAUUUGGCAAAAUACGUUAGUAUUUUCUAGAAUACGGUAGUAUUCUAUCUAUUUCUCGGACAAAUGAUUGGGAUAUGUUAGUUUUCAGUCAGAAAUUUGUUCAAACAUUUUAUCAACAACUGAAAUACGUUAGUUUUCAGUCACAAAAAAUACGUUAGUAUUUUUGGCAGUUAUCAUAAUUAUGAUGGUAUUCUUAGUUUAUUAAGAGCAGAAUACGGUAGUAUUCUUACCUAUUUUUGUUCGAUCAAACUGCAAGAAAUAAACUAUUGUUUCGUCAAGGGAAUACGUUAGUAUUUCCAUUUUUAAAGCAUAGUAUGCUAGAAAAGCUACGGCAGAUUACUGUGUUUUGAUAAUGGUUUUACAUAAGUUUAUAUUGCAAUGCAAUAUUAUUUAUUAGUGCCAGUAUACGGUAGUAUUUGGCAAAAUACGUUAGUAUUUUCUAGAAUACGGUAGUAUUCUAUCUAUUUCUCGGACAAAUGAUUGGGAUAAAUGUUAGUUUUCAGUCAGAAAUUUGUUCAAACAUUUUAUCAACAACUGAAUACGUUAGUUUUCAGUCACAAAAAAUACGUUAGUAUUUUUGGCAGUUAUCAUAAUUAUGAUGGUAUUCUUAGUUUAUUAAGAGCAGAAUACGGUAGUAUUCUUACCUAUUUUUGUUCGAUCGCACUGCAAGAAAUAAACUAUUGUUUCAUCAAGGGAAUACGUUAGUAUUUCCAUUUUUAAAGCAUAAUAUGCUAGUAAAGCUACGGCAGAUUACUGUGUUUUGAUAAUGGUUUUACAUAAGUUUAUAUUGCAAUGCAACAUUAUUUAUUAGUGCCAGUAUACGGUAGUAUUUGGCAAAAUACGUUAGUAUUUUCUAGAAUACGGUAGUAUUCUAUCUAUUUCUCGGACAUAUGAUUGGGAUAUGUUAGUUUUUAGUCAGAAAUUUGUUCAAACAUUUUAUCAACAACUGAAAUACGUUAGUUUUCAGUCACAAAAAAUACGUUAGUAUUUUUGGCAGUUAUCAUAAUAAUGAUGGUAUUCUUAGUUUAUUAAGAGCAGAAUACGGUAGUAUUCUUACCUAUUUUUGUUCGAUCGAACUGCAAGAAAUAAACUAUUGUUUCGUCAAGGGAAUACGUUAGUAUUUCCAUUUUUAAAGCAUAAUAUGCUAGUAAAGCUACGGCGGAUUACUGUGUUUUGAUAAUGGUUAUAACACAUUGACUAAUCUGUCAGUUGAUUUAAAUGAAACAUAUUUACACUUGAUGUUUCGGUUAAAUGUUUCUAAUACUUUUUUUUUUACACACAUUUAUGUUUUCAUUAGAACAAUGAUGCAAUUCUAGUUGUUGUUGUUGUUGUUGUAAAUAUAUAUAUAGAAACACACACCAAUAGAUAUAUAAUUAUGGUCAUUUAAUGCACAAAUCGGAAAUGAGUUGUCUGUUAAUGCGGGAAUCCCAGAUGAUUUAUGUACUGUCAAUUAUCAAACAAUUGACGAUGCCAUAGCUCUCGUUAAACAAUGUGGUUAUAUGUCAUAUAUGACUAAAGUAGAUAUUGAAAAUGCAUAUAAAAUAGUGCCCAUUCAUCCCCAUGAUUUUGAACUUUUAGGUUUUUCCAUUGAUGACAAGAAAAUUUUUUUUUUGGAUAAAACCUUGCCCAUGGGAUUGUCUUAUUCGUGUGCUCUAUUUGAACGAUUAAGCACUGCCUUUCAUUGGACUGCUGUAAACAAAUUGAAGUUACCGUUUUGUGCCCACAUUCUUGAUGAUUUUUUUUUUUUCUUUGUUAAUUUCACUUCUGAUUUGUCCAUGAAGGGUCUUAAUAUAUUUUUAACAUGGGCACAGUCAAUUGGGUUACCUAUUAAUCCAGAUAAAACUGUCACUCCUUGUACCACUAUCACUUUUGUUGGUAUUGAGCUUGAUUCCAUUGCAAUGGAGGCUCGUUUACCAUUAGAGAAAUUGCAAAAAAUCAGGUCAGUUUUACAUUCUCUGCGAUUUCGUAAAAAGGUUACUUUACAGGAACUGCAGUCUGUCAUAGGUCUCCUUAAUUUUGCUUGCAGAGUUGUUCGGCCGGGCCGGGCUUUUUUGACCUGACACUGUUAGUGUACUGUCCCUGGAUUAAACUCAACUAUAUCGCUAUCUUGGGGACAAGGGCCUCAGACUAGCAUAAUCGUUCACAUUCCUAAGGUACACAUUAAUACCACAUCUUCUGUCUUGGGGACAAGGGCCUCAGACAGUAUGAAUCAUUGGUGAAAUACUUGCAAAUCUUGAGGACAAGGGCCUCAGAAAGGUUUUUCUGAAAAUUUCUGCUGAUAAUUUUGUUAAAUCUCUGUUGUAUAAUAAUUGAUUUUCUUUGGAACAAGAGUCUCAGAAAAUCAAAUGGUAAUUUUCAGAAAAUAUUACUUUUGUUGUAUUUUUGUGUUUUCUUAAUAAAUGUUUUUUAUGUGUUAGUCAUCGCUUUUUAUAAAACAUUAGUCAAUUGUCUUUUUAAUGUACAUACUAUGUUGUUACAUGUGUCCCAGGGUUUCAUUUUUAUAUACAAUGUAUGUACUUAAUCUAGCUGAUUAUCUAUCUCGUCUUCAGGUAGAACAAUUUUUGCAAGAAUGUCCGUUUCAUCACCCACUACAAAUGGCAGUUCCACCAUCCAGUGUGACACUUUGACUGAAAUUUCCCAAAUGCUUCUUGACAAUGCUUUGGCAACAUCAAGUCAGCUCACUUAUAAUAAAGCAGUGGAACAUUACAGGCGCUUCAUUCUAGAGAGGUCACCAUCACAUGCACUUUUCAAGCCUCUUUAAAUGAUAUUCUUAUGUUUAUUGCACAUUGUUUUUCGAAGAAUUUUGCACCCGCAACUGUUACCACAUAUGUGUCUGCCCUUGGUUAUUUCCACAGACUAAGACAAAUGCCAGACGUUUCUGGUCAUUUCCUGAUUAACAAAUCUUUGACUGGUUAUCGAAAUCUCUUGAGGCGUCCAGAUAUCAGGUUACCAAUUACUUGAAAUAUUCUAUGGUCUCUCGUUCAAUCUCUGCCACGCAUAACUCUAUGUCACUUUACAAGAACACUGUUUAAAGCCAUGUUUCUUGUUAUGUUCGCCUGCUUCUUACGUCUUGGGGAAGUAACAGCAACAUCUUCCCCUCCACUCCUUCACAGGUCACAUGUCUCCUUCAAAUAUAAACACCCCACAGAUGAACUGAUUGGCUUUGAUUUGACUAUAAAAGAUUAUAAACACAGUCAUGGUUCCCAAAAAACAA